UUUUUUUUUUUUUUUUUUUUUUUUUUUGCUUUUUAGGGCUGCAUCCAAGGCAUAUGCAAGUUUCCAGGCUAGGCGUCUAAUCUGAGCCCCGGCUGCCAGUCUGUACCCCAGCAAAGUGGAAGCUAGCGGUCAACCGCAACCUACACCAUAGCUCAUGGCAACAUCAGAUCUUCAACCCACUGAGCGAGGCCAGGAAUCAAACCCACAUCCUCAUGGAUCCUAGUUGGGUUCGUUAACCACUGAGCCAUGAAAGGAACUUCGCAAUUGGACAUUUCUAAUGUUAGUUGCAUUUGGAAUGGUAGUGUUACUCCACAUAAUACAGCUUUGGCUGAAUGUUUUGGAGGCUUUAUAAAAUCCUAGCCCUCUCAGUACAUAAGCUCUAAAGAUACAGUCAGAUUACCUGUGCCUAAUGUUGAUUCUAGAAACACAGACCCUUCCAUCAGGUUUUCUUUCACUUAACAUUUCAUUUGACCUGGAAAAGGGAAGUAAAUGGAUUUGAGAACGAGAUGUUUUCAAGCGCGAAUAGUCCUAAUUUCUGUAUUGAAUUUAAAAUGUUAAAAGAGAGACCCCCACGAGAUUUAAACAUGUUGUUGCAACUUCUAAUACAACUAAAAACAUCAGUGCUCUCCUGGAAACUGAUAGAAUGCUGUGUGAAAGAACCAGGGGAAAGAUUGCAAAGGAAGGUGUCAAUUCCAGAGGCUUAAAGAACAAACUUUCUUUCCAUGUAGAAGCGUUCUUGUGGUGAAAUACAAAGAAUAACCCUAAAGGAUAAAACGAAAGUGCAUCGUAGCGGACUUUGUCCACAGGCACUUGCCCAGACUAAGGGUCACUUUAUUGCAAAUUUUUGUCGCAUUUGAGACUUUCCUUCUUAUUUGACAAGUCUCCACUUCUGAGUGUCAAGCCUUGAAGUCUACGUUAUGGUCAGAAGAGAGCUGUGAUGGGAACGGGUGACAGCCAUGAUGGUCUAGACUCAGAGUGACAUGGACAUGCCUGUGUCUUAGGUUUCUCUGUGUUGUUCAAGUUCAGGUCCAGUGAGAUGCCUUCCCCUCCAUAACACAUCCACUCACAUGCUCUCUCAAGUUUCCUCCAGCUCCAAAACUCUAUGACUCUGGGUCUGACCGAGCAUGGGGUAGAAGAAGUGAGAAAUUUAUGGCACUGGCUCUUAAUUUCAAAUUGGAAAAUCCUUACACUUUUAAGUGAACCUGACCUGAUGGCAUAUGUCUCACAAACACAUCAGGAAGAAUAAUUGGCUUUCUCUUCUCAUGGCAACAAAGGGCAGAUUUUGGUAGACCGGAGAGUUUGGGAUACAAAUACCAAAUGCUAAAUAUCUUGGUUCAAGUGCUGCUUCUGUCACAUCCAUAUCAUAUCACUUGAGACAAAUCACUUUGUCUUUUUAUUUGUUUCCCAUCUGUAAAGCAAAGGGAUUGUUUUAUGGGAUUUAAACUCCGCAUCUGAAAACUAAGAAAAUAAAUGAAUACAAAUAAAAAUUCUUAUUUAUUUUGUAUCAACUGCAGAUAAAGUUUGGGCAGAAUGUUAGGAUUAGCUGAUAGAAUGGGGAAAAGAUCUAAUUACGUACAGAAAACCAAGAACACUUAAAAUUAGAAUUAAAGCAAGUUGUUCAGUAAUUUCACAUACGCUUGGGCAUGACUAAAAGCCCUCCUCGGACUACAAAAAUAUAUCUUAAAUUCUUAAGAUUAUAGUAGAUAUCUAUAAAAUCAAUUUGUUCAAGAGCCUUUCAAUUUAUUGCUUAGAUUUGCUGGGACAUUUUGAUAUAUAUAUAGUUCAUACGGAAAUUAUUUUAAAUCAUAAAGUAGACCCUCGUCAUCCUGACAUAGUUUAUCUGUGGUUCUGCUUCGAAGCUGGGAUAUAGAGUCUGUGACUUCUAGAGGCCCCUGCAUGUCCCAGGAAUAUGUGCGUAAUUGGCCUUAACAGAGCUGAAACAGCACAUGGUUUGAGUAUAGAGUAGGCAGAAUUUGACCCCAGGAAGACAGGCAUCAUGCUAAUUUUUAAAAAAUAAGAGCACUUGAAGAAAGCCAGAAAUAAAUCCAGAGUUUCUAUAAACAAGGCAGGGAGAGGCUUACUCAUCACAGGGAAAAGUCAGGCUCAUUAAAGAAGGUAAUUAUUACCUCUGACAUACAGAACUGUGGGCUGCUUUAAAUUAAGGUUCUUAACGAGGCAUUUCAUUGUGUGUCCUUAGCGGAGGGAUUUAAGGAGGCAGACUUUCUUCCAAAGUCAACGGGAGGGGAGUUGUAUGUUCAAGUGUUGCUGGAGGAGAAUAUUUCAGGAACGAACAGUUCGGGAAUACUAAAUACAUAAAACGAAAUACGCGCAAUUUCAGAACAGAUUGCUGGCACGCUGAAUGCCCAUCCGAGCCAUGUGCUUAGAGGAGGGAGAUGUAAACUUUGCCGCAUGCUAAUGAUAUGCUAAUGAGCACUCAUGUUAGACAGAUGACAAGAUCGCGGUCUUUGUUCCUUUUUUGCUAAUGGAACGAAUAAGCCUGAGUAAGCAGUUUUAAGAGAAAGUUGUAAACGUUUACAUUUUUUCCCAUUUUUAUUAGUUUUUCGUUAUGUCACUUCUCUUGCCCAACAGACGUCUUUCUUUUUUUCUUUCUGUACUGUAUCGCGGAUAGGACUUGGGGUGGACUUCAUUUUAUCUGAGAUUUAACAGACUCUCAUCUUCUCCCAAGAGAAGAAUUUGUCUUGCUCUCCAGAAAGAAAUUCUUUUUACCUGACUCUAAGCAGUCCCUUUAUCAAAAAGCAUGUACCGAACACCCCAAUAUCAACUUUUUAUGAUACCCAUAUAUGUAAAGGUAUUAUGUUUUAAGAAAAAUAAAUGGAUUUUCCGUUGAAUACACUUAUUUUAGAAGGUAGAGUUUAUGGCUCUGCUGUUCAAAGUUUAAAAAUACCUCAUCAGACCACACUGCUGUUAUAGGAAAUGAAGAGGGUUGCUGCAUUCUCCUCGUCUUCCCAGCACACACCUAAAUUCUGGAACACCUCUUGCCCAUUAAUAGGAUUUCCCUAAGGACUUUUUACCUGUUCCCCCUAAGAGUAAGUGAUGGGUUAGUAAUUUGAUAACCUUGUUUUCUCCAUCAGAAACCAAGCACCCAGGAGGUAUACUAGCCCAAGGUGGAAUCUAUGAUCUGUACCCACUGUAAAAAAAAUCAGUCUCUUUUUUUAAACUUCAGCAAACAGGAGCAUUUGAGUGUGACCCAUAAUAUCAUUACCUGGUUAAACCCCAUUUCCAGUUAAAUUAAGACGUGCUAUUGUUACUCAUAAGCAUCUCUCCAUGGGAUUUUUAAAGUUGGUUCGUGUCCUUGGUAAGCAUUCAAAAUGUUCUCUAAAGCCAGAUAUUCUGUGACAUGAUCUGUUUUGUCAGCGAAGCUGACCUAGCUUCUGACAGUUUCUAUCGUGAUGUCAUGCUUUAAAUAUGUGUUUAGUCUGUUUUUAAAAUAAAUACCUCAUUUUCUGAAUUUUUUUUUUACAUACUGUCUUUUCAGUUUGUGCAAUUGGUGCAGCUUCUGUUCUUCUCUGUCUUUCUGUCUGUGUUUUUUAUGGAUCAAGGAAAGAUGCCAUACCAUUGGCCAUUUCAAUCAACCCAGUGCAUUCUUUCAGUACACUCCACAUCAUUUGAAAUGGAAAUUCGGGCUACAAAAUUUCUCUCUUUUUAAAAUUUCUAUUAAAUAGUUGCAUUUUCAGGGAAUUUGAAGUUAGAUAUUCACAAUGAGAAUAUUCAGAAUUCUUUUUCAAAUAUAAAUGAAAUAAACUCCUAUAUACACUGUGUCCAAUAUCUCAAUUGUUUGAUUUUUAUUUAAGUUUAAUUCUAUUCGCAUAUAAUCCAUUCCCAUAAAAGGAUUCAUUACAUUAAUCAAUGGCCACAUCUUCAAUUCUCAAUUCUAUGUAGGCACCAGGAGACCACAGCCACAGAGAAAGCAUGCCUCAGAUAUGCAUCUUUGAGAAUAUUCCAUUUAAAUGCAUAUAAAUAAUAAUAAUUUCAUUAAAUUGCAAUAUUUAGUCACGGAGGGAUUUUAUUGAACUCUCCCAUUCUCUCCACAGUUAUCAGAUCCUUAAUCUAAAUCAUACCAUCCUGUAAAUAGUAUGUCUUAAUACUAUUAAGGUCACUUUUCUCACCGGUGAUUUAAAAGGGUUAUAAGUGUCCUUUUCAUAUUUUGCAAUUAUUGAGAGGAUUUCUUUGACAAAGUGCAUUUAUAGUCAUGGUUAUAGUUGUAAAAGCUAAUAGCUCUUGGGGCUCUAAACAUAUUCUAAUCCUGAAUUAUAGAUGAGAAGAUGGAAAUUCUAAGGAGUUUCAUAUCAAUCCAAAGUGAGUACACAAUUUUAUCAAUAGUUAAAUGAAAGACGGAAAGCAUGAUCUGAAUUUCAUGAUCCGUCAGCUUUUGAUUUAUUGUAAUAAAAUAAGUCUGGAAUCAUGACCAAAUGCAAUCUACUGGGAAAUCGUUCAAAACAACCCUGCAGUUAUCGAACAUGCUGGUAAAGCCCCAUGUUGAUGUUUUUGAAAUUUGCGUUUGUUAACGGUUUCUGACACUUGGGGCAGCUAAGUUUUGGAGAAUAUUCCAAGAAAGCUUGAGCAUUAGUUUUUAAGAGAACUUUUAAAAGCGUUGAUUUAACAUUUUUAUCACACCUCAACCACAAGCUCGUGGCCACCCCUGUGACGUUUGAGCCAAUCCAAGGUAAAUUCCCCAAGAUACCUCCAAAGGCAGCUUCACAGGUAACUGUCCUCAAAUUAGGCACCUGCCACACCCCUCGUCUCCCAGCAAAGGCAGCCGGAGUUCUUGCUGCACUUUUGCUCUGGAUUUCAUCUCUUUAAACCCUUGCAGGGCCUCAUCAACAUUUUUGAUUUUUUCAUCCUCAUCCUUCAUGAAACCCCUUCUCUCUUUAAACACAUUCAAUUUCCAUUACCCUGAAAACCAUAUAAAACCCCAUCACUUGAUAUCGCUGCUGCUAAUUGCUAUCCUGGAUGCCACCAUUUUCCUUCUUUCUUUUCUUUUUUUGUUUUGUUUUGUUUUGUUUUUUAGGGCCACACCNCUGCCAGCCUACACCACAGCCACAGCAAGGCAGGAUCCGAGUGGAGUCUGUGACCCACACCACAGCUCAUGGCAACACCAGAUCCUUAACCCACUGAGCGAGGUCAGGGAUCAAACCCGCCACUUCAUGGUUCUUAGUCCGAUUCGUUUCCGAGACACCCCAACAGGAGCACCUUCUUCUUUCUUUUCUUGCCAAAUCUAAAAAUGUCCAUAACUCAUUGGUCCUUAAAUAUAGUACUUUAUGAAAGAAGUUUAUCAGACAUUUGAUACUGUGCUAAGGAGGUAAAGAAAAAUCGAUCCUGGCCACCAAGACACACUUAGAACGUGUUCUUCUAUCUGCCCCUCCCCCACGUUCCCCAAUUCUCCUCUCUGUGUAUGUAAAUUUACCAAAAGUCAUUCUUUCUUUAAAUACAUGCCA
rnacentral:lncRNA from 1 species